ACCCCUAACAUUAGCUUUUUGA
rnacentral:miRNA from 1 species